rnacentral:rRNA from 1 species
CCUACGGGGGGCAGCAGUGAGGAAUAUUGGUCAAUGGACGAGAGUCUGAACCAGCCAAGUAGCGUGAAGGAUGACUGCCCUAUGGGUUGUAAACUUCUUUUAUCUGGGAAUAAAAUGUUCCACGUGUGGGAUUUUGUAUGUCCCAUAUGAUUAAGGAUCGGCUAACUCCGUGCCAGCAGCCGCGGUAAUACGGAGGAUCCGAGCGUUAUCCGGAUUUAUUGGGUUUAAGGGGAGCGUAGGUGGAUUGUUAAGUCAGUUGUGAAAGUUUGCGGCUCAAGCGUAAAAGUGCAGUUGAAACUGGCAGUCUGGAGUACAGUAGAGGUGGGCGGAAUGCGUGGUGUAGCGGUGAAAUGCUUAGAUAUCACGAAGAACUCCGAUUGCGAAGGCAGCUCACUGGACUGCAACUGACACUGAGGCUCGAAAGUGUGGGUAUCAAACAGGAUUAGAUACCCGAGUAGUC